GACGAAGAACGUAGCGAAAUGCGAUAAGUAAUGUGAAUUGCAGAAUUCAGUGAAUCAUCGAGUCUUUGAACGCACAUUGCGCCCCCUGGUAUUCCGGGGGGCAUGCCUGUCCGAGCGUCAUUGCUGCCCUCAAGCACGGCUUGUGUGUUGGGCCGUCGUCCCCCUCCUAGGGGACGGGCCCGAAAGGCAGCGGCGGCACCGCGUCCGGUCCUCGAGCGUAUGGGGCUUCGUCACCCGCUCCGUAGGCCCGGCCGGCGCUUGCCGACGACCAUCAAUCUCUUUCUCCAGGUUGACCUCGGAUCAGGUAGGGAUACCCGCUGAACUUAAGCAUAUCAAUAAGCGGAGGA
rnacentral:misc_RNA from 1 species